rnacentral:rRNA from 1 species
GAACGCUGGCGGCAUGCCUUACACAUGCAAGUCGAACGGUAACAGGUUAAGCUGACGAGUGGCGAACGGGUGAGUAAUGUAUCGGAACGUGCCCAGUCGUGGGGGAUAACUACUCGAAAGAGUGGCUAAUACCGCAUGAGACCUGAGGGUGAAAGCGGGGGAUCGCAAGACCUCGCGCGGUUGGAGCGGCCGAUAUCAGAUUAGCUAGUUGGUGGGGUAAGAGCCCACCAAGGCGACGAUCUGUAGCUGGUCUGAGAGGACGACCAGCCACACUGGGACUGAGACACGGCCCAGACUCCUACGGGAGGCAGCAGUGGGGAAUUUUGGACAAUGGACGAAAGUCUGAUCCAGCCAUGCCGCGUGCGGGAAGAAGGCCUUCGGGUUGUAAACCGCUUUUGUCAGGGAAGAAACGGGUCUGUCUAAUACACGGGCCUAAUGACGGUACCUGAAGAAUAAGCACCGGCUAACUACGUGCCAGCAGCCGCGGUAAUACGUAGGGUGCAAGCGUUAAUCGGAAUUACUGGGCGUAAAGCGUGCGCAGGCGGUUAUGCAAGACAGAUGUGAAAUCCCCGGGCUCAACCUGGGAACUGCAUUUGUGACUGCAUGGCUAGAGUACGGUAGAGGGGGAUGGAAUUCCGCGUGUAGCAGUGAAAUGCGUAGAUAUGCGGAGGAACACCGAUGGCGAAGGCAAUCCCCUGGACCUGUACUGACGCU